AUCCACGGCCAUAGGACACUGAAAACAUCGCAUCCCGUCCGAUCUGCGCAAUUAAGCAGUGUGCCGCUUAGUUAGUACCAUGGUGGGGGACCACAUGGGAAUCCUAGGUGCUGUGGUU
rnacentral:rRNA from 1 species